GAUGAACGCUGGCGGCGUGCUUAACACAUGCAAGUCGAACGGAAAGGCUCCUGCUUGCUGGGGUACUCGAGUGGCGAACGGGUGAGUAACACGUGGGUGAUCUGCCCUGCACUUCGGGAUAAGCCUGGGAAACUGGGGCUAAUACCGGAUAGGACGAUGGUUUGGAUGCCAUUGUGGAAAGUUUUUCGGUGUGGGAUGAGCUCGCGGCCUAUCAGCUUGUUGGUGGGGUAGUGGCCUACCAAGGCGUCGACGGGUAGCCGGCCUGAGAGGGUGUACGGCCACAUUGGGACUGAGAUACGGCCCAGACCCCUACGGGAGGCAGCAGUGGGGAAUAUUGCACAAUGGGCGCAAGCCUGAUGCAGCGACGCCGCGUGGGGGAUGACGGCCUUCGGGUUGUAAACUCCUUUCGCUAGUGACGAAGCGCAAGUGACGGUACCUGGAGAAGAAGCACCGGCUAACUACGUG
rnacentral:rRNA from 1 species